rnacentral:rRNA from 1 species
GCCUUUAUUGGAGGCUGGAAUGAAAGAUGUGACGAGAAGAUAACUGUCUUGGUUUACUUUAAAUAAAUUGACUUAGGAGUAAAAAGGCUUCUAUGUGUUUAAGGGACGAUAAGACCCUAUAAAGCUUUAUUUAUGGUUACCGGUCUGUUUUAAGGAAAGAGCAGUAUAUGUAAAUUUUGCUGGGGCGGCAAGUGACUAAACUUCACUGAUUAUAACACUUUGCGUGAAUACAAUCUAGCGUUGCGUCAAACAUUCAAAACAAGUUACUUUAGGGAUAACAGCACAAUUUUCUUAUAGAGUCCUUAUCGACAGGAAAGAUUGUGACCUCGAUGUUGAAUUGAGUUUCUCCCACUAAGCAGCCAUAGUGGAUAGAAGUCUGUUCGACUUUUAAUUACUCACAUGAUCUGAGUUCAAACCGGA